GGAUUGUCAUUUAUUUCUUUUUCCUGAUUUCCUGAAUUGCAAUCAUCACUUAAAUAAAUCCAUGCAAAGACAACAAAAUAGAAAAAGAAAAAAAAAAAGGAUGGGAAUGUAAAUGUGAAAUGGUCAAAACUACUGUCUAAUUGGAAACGACAAAGCAUUUGCCGAUGAUAAGUCCCUUGAACAAUUCCAGCUUGCCUCACCUUCUCUGACUCAAUGUCUCAAGACUUCAAUAGGAAGCCCAUGGCAUCUCCAAUGGUAUCAUCUCUGGAACGACCAAACUUGACUCAGACCAACCAACUUUCUCCACCAGCUUAGCGAUUAGGUCGCCUACUAUAUAAGAAGCACCUGAGGCCAUGACCCCUAUGAGCACAAAGUGCGAUAUAGUGCUGAUAUAACGCUUGGGUUGCCGUCUAGUGUAAGCCUUUCCAAUGGCAAGUAAAAUAAUGCAUACAAGCGAAGCCCCUCCAACCACUGCAAGCUUGAGAUCUCUAUUAUCCCUCUUACGAAAUGAAAAGCCAUAAACGACAGGAGGCAGCAUACCAAAAAUAAGGAAUGAUAAAAUAGCAACAGUUGCAUGAAGUAAAAAAUUCUCCCUUCGUCCUAGUGUUUCUUGGUAACGGUCCUCGUGCUGCUCAUUAAUUUGGUUGGAAGAUCCACCAGAGGCAUCGUUUUUCAGAUCAAUAAGAUUGUGACCAAUGAUGAAAAGUCCACCGAUCAAAUUUGCUAAUCCCAGCGCUAAAAUGUUCCAUGUAGCAGAACCAGCACCCGCAGCAGAUGACACAACACUUAGACUUGUGAUAGAUUCUAUUAAGCCACCAUAUACAAUGCUUUUCAAAAUAUCCACAGUAACUCCAGCACCUCCUUGUUCACUCAUGUAUGUGUGGGUCCCACUCAGUAGUGAACUUCUGACUUCUGUUGAACCAUCAACAUUUUGUGCCAUCUGAGAAGCUGUAGGUUCCCCUGACCUUCGUUCAACAGGAACAAUCACAUCUCCCCCUGGAAUCUUCUUUUCCACAGCAUCAAAUGCCAUCUCUACAAUAUCAAUUUGAACUAGUUGUUCUUCCAACUUUGCCCUGUUGACAUUCUUGUCUAUCUCCAUCUGUGACAGCCCAGGCACUAAAGACUGACAAGUUGAAGAUGGUGGAAAAAUCACUCCACCAUGUAAAGGUACUGAUGAGGCAUCUUCAGCAGGUUCUCCAGUAAUGCCAGGAACAGAUGCUUCUGAAUGAAGUCUAUGUUGGUAUAACACAGUCUCUGAAGAACUUUUUGAGUUAAAUUGUUGAACAUCAUCCACUAUAUCAUUGUCCAAUGCAUC
rnacentral:misc_RNA from 1 species